GUGAAAUGUGAAGGUGUCGCUGACCUGUCACAUCACUUUUCAGCUAUGGUUUUCUUGGGUGCCGAAAUGUUGAAGGUGUGACUUGCCACAUCAGACAAAACCGUUUUCGAUCCAUUCCAUUUUAUCGACUGUUUGUAAUAGGCCUUACAAUAGUUUCUUCGUCUACAAUGCAGUCUCCAAUCCAACGACGACUGAAGAUUCGGAAGACGGAAGAGCAGCAGCAGGCGACCCUGAUGGAUUGCCCCAUGAUGCACUUCUACCCACUUCGACAUAUUGUAAAAUUCAACUUACAAUGCGCUAGAAAAAACGGCAGGGGAUGUCAACAGCUUGGUAAUAUUUCUGUAUGGAUAACUAGAACCAGAAUCAGAAUCACAACGAUUUUAUCUUAUUUUGUUGGUGGAAAAUAGUGAAAUUGCUAACAAAUGGUACCUAAACCUGUAUGUAACGCAACUUUGAUUCCUCUGUUUAGCAUUAUAAGACAGUGUUCAGCAAGAUAAACAAAUAAUGUUACAGCAAGAUAAACAAACAAGUCUCAACACAAUUUUUGACCUGUCCAAAUAUCAAGUCCCAAGUACCCUAGGAAUUAGGUUCCCAUUAUCCACCCAAGAGUAAGAUAGCCCUAUUGAGAAUCUAGGAUGUACAGUCACUCAUAUAAGUUCAUGGAUGUUCGGGAGUUUGAGAGAGAUUUCCAUUUCACCCCCUUUGUGGAUGACAGGUCUGAGAGUGCGAAACUGGCCAUAUGUUAAACUGACCCGUUGUCCAGAGAGGGGUUGGAUGGAAUUCAGCUUUAUGCCCAGUGACAUCCAAGAACUUAUAUGAGUGAUUAUAGAUCUGUGAAGAGCAGAGAUCUUGUCCGGGUACGAGUCUCCCCUCGUCCAACCAUCUCUGCAACGCGGGACUAGAUGGUAGAACCGAAUGGCAGUUUCUAGGCAUGGGGUUGUUAUGGAGGGGCCCUGGCCUUCCCAGUCAGAUGCUUGGGGCCCCCCUAGUUGAAAGUCCCUUUAUACCUUUACUUAACCUUCUAGUGGUCAAAAGCAUAUGUUCUCGGCCUAGCGAUCUCAUUUUUUUUUUAUCACAAUUGACACGUGCUGCUGCUAAUUAUUUUGAUCGGAUCUGAACCAUUCUAAUGGUAUUAAUAUUCUCUAUUUGAUCUACUUACAUGCCAUUGGAAUGUUUUAGCUGAGAAAGUAUUUGAAAUAUUUUUGUUUUUUUGCAAUUGUACUAUAUAUCUAACAACUUUAUUUUGGUUCUUGUUACCUUUACAACUUACUAUAUAGAGCUGAGAAAUUCAUUGCUAUAAUUAUAGGAUUUUAACACAAUUGACUUUUUUAUUCUUGAUAUUUUGCUCCAACUUAAUGUUAUCAACUUAUGUACGAAAUGAUCAAAACUAUAGUUACACUUUUGAAUAAGUGCAAUGCAAUUUGCUAAUGCUGCUUCGAGUUAAUUUCCAGGGAGAGGAGAAGAAGAAGAGGGAAUGGGAUAGGUUGAGAUUUUGGAGGGUCAUAAGUUUUUGUGUUAUUGAUGAUAUUCGCUAUAUUGAUAUAUUUACUUAACAAGGGUAUUAUACUGUAGUUGAAAAUUAAUAAAACUUGAUAAUAGUAAUGGGGCUAGAGUUGAAUGUAAGGUUGUGAGGACAUUUCCAUUACAGUAUUUGAUACAUUCGCAUAUAGUAAAGUUGAAAUGAAAAUUAAUGGAAAAUUGAGCACUAUAAUUUCAAAUACAGGUUUACUAAUUACUUAUACUGUUAUUUU